UACGCAGGGGGCUAGCGUUGCUCGGAAUCACUGGGCGUAAAGGGUGCGUAGGCGGGGCUUUAAGUCAGGGGUGAAAUCCUGGAGCUCAACUCCAGAACUGCCUUUGAUACUGAGGAUCUUGAGUCCGGGAGAGGUGAGUGGAACUGCGAGUGUAGAGGUGAAAUUCGUAGAUAUUCGCAAGAACACCAGUGGCGAAGGCGGCUCACUGGCCCGGUACUGACGCUGAGGCACGAAAGCGUGGGGAGCAAACAGG
rnacentral:rRNA from 1 species